CUCUCUCUAAUUAUCGAAACCUACUAAGAAACCCUCUCUAGGUUAGGGUUUUUCUGAAUUCUGUUACAAUGCCGAGGUACAGGAGCCGAAGUAGGAGCUACAGUCCCCGUCGUAGCAGCAGAACCCCACCACGUGGCCGGAAGCACUACUAUGAAGAUGAAGAUCCCCGUGAUCGCUACCGCGACAGCCGUUCUUACCGCGAACGCCGCUCCCCUGCUCCAUCUGGCUUGCUUGUUCGCAAUCUACCUCUUGACGCCAGGCCUGAAGACCUUAGGGUUCCUUUUGAGAAAUAUGGACCUGUGAAGGAUGUAUAUCUACCAAAGAAUUACUACACUGGGUAUGAGCCACGGGGCUUUGGAUUUGUGAAGUACCGUUAUGCUGAAGAUGCAGCAGAAGCAAAGCAACGUAUGAAUCAUAAAAUUAUUGGUGGACGUGAGAUAAGAAUUGUUUUUGCUGAGGAGAACAGGAAAACUCCUCAAGAAAUGCGUACAAGUGCCCGUAUUAGUGGUCGAUAUGGAGGUAGCUAUAGAGGGAGAACACCACCAAGGUCUCCAAGACGCCGGCAUCAUUCUUACUCACAUUCACCUUCUCCAGCAAGGCAUGACUCAAGGGAUCAUGGCGCAAGGAAUUAUAAUCUCUCUCCAGGGAGAUCCAGGUCAAUUUCACAUUCUCGUUCUCCACGAGAUGAGAUGGACUAUAGGUUGAACCAGAGGUUUUCAAGCCCAAGGCAGAAUGUUCGGAGCCCUCGUGAUGAAGGAGACUAUGCAUCUGCCAGGUCAAGGAGUCCAAGGGGUAAUAGUCGCAGUCAAUCGAGGUCACCUUUGCGGUCGAAUGGUUCUCGCUGAUGGCUGUUGCAAGUGAUGUGGCUAUCUUGCGCUGCUCUUGGGGUUUGCAUCAGAAAGUGUAAAAUUGAGCUAGAUGUAUUGUCGAUUUGGACCUCACUCGUGGAUUGCCCUAUUUUGUUUUGUUGUCUCUCUUUAUCAGUCAUAUGUCAUGAUCUUAGCUGCUUCUGUGUUGCUGACUCUGUCGUUGGAUUGGUGAUGCGGGAAUUUGCAAUAUCUAUGGUUCAAUUGCUUUGUGAUGCAAACCCC
rnacentral:misc_RNA from 1 species